rnacentral:rRNA from 1 species
UCUGUCGAGCUUGCUCACAGGCACAUCAUAUCCAUAACACCUGUGCACUUGUCGGAUGGCUUAGUGAAGACCGCAAGGUUGGAUCUAUCCAUCUACUUUACAUAACAAUUCUGUAACAAAUGUAGUCUUAUUAUAACAUAAUAAAACUUUCAACAACGGAUCUCUUGGCUCUCGCAUCGAUGAAGAACGCAGCGAAAUGCGAUAAGUAAUGUGAAUUGCAGAAUUCAGUGAAUCAUCGAAUCUUUGAACGCACCUUGCGCUCCUUGGUAUUCCGAGGAGCAUGCCUGUUUGAGUGUCAUGAAAACCCUCAACCCUAGAUUGGUUAAAACCUUUCUUUGGUUUGGAUUUGGACGUUUGCCGAUGAUAAGUCGGCUCGUCUUAAAAGUAAUAGCUGGAUCUGUCUCGCGACAUGGUUUGACUUGGCGUAAUAAGUAUUUCGCUAAGGACAUCUUCGGAUGGCCGCGUUGCAGGACUAAAGACCGCUUUCUAAUCCAUUGAUCUUACGAUUAAUAUUCUUGACAUCUGGCCUCAAAUCAGGUAGGACUACCCGCUGAACUUAAGCAUAUCAAUAAG